UGAGGCGGAUUGGAGGGCAGAGCGGCGGCGUCCGCGGGGCGGGCGGGGUCGUCCCGGCUCCGGGCAUCCUCCGUCUCUCCCCCUCCCCCCCGCGCCCGGUGGCCCUCCUGUCUGCUUUUCAUCCUGCGAUACAAAGCCAUUUCCUCUGCGUCCUCCGGCCGCUACCAUCUGUCACCAUGCAAUGCUAUUACUGUUCCAUGGACUAUAUUUAAUUGUGUGAUCCAUAAAAAAGUGGUGCCAUCUCUUUGAAAAUGGAAGAAGUCAGUGGAGAGAAUUACAGUGCUGUGUCUUUUAAUGACUAAUAAAGAAUGUAUCAGUGAUACGCCCUUAAAAGGAA